rnacentral:rRNA from 1 species
GAUGAACGCUGGCGGCGUGCCUAAUACAUGCAAGUCGAGCGAACAGACGAGGAGCUUACUCCUCUGACGUUAGCGGCGGACGGGUGAGUAACACGUGGAUAACCUACCUAUAAGACUGGGAUAACUUCGGGAAACCGGAGCUAAUACCGGAUAACAUGUUGAACCGCAUGGUUCAACAGUGAAAGACGGUCUUGCUGUCACUUAUAGAUGGAUCCGGGUCGCAUUAGCUAGUUGGUAAGGUAACGGCUUACCAAGGCAACGAUGCGUAGCCGACCUGAGAGGGUGAUCGGCCACACUGGAACUGAGACACGGUCCAGACUCCUACGGGAGGCAGCAGUAGGGAAUCUUCCGCAAUGGGCGAAAGCCUGACGGAGCAACGCCGCGUGAGUGAAGAAGGUCUUCGGAUCGUAAAACUCUGUUAUUAGGGAAGAACAAAUGUGUAAGUAACUAUGCACGUCUUGACGGUACCUAAUCAGAAAGCCACGGCUAACUACGUG